UAAUUUUGUAGAUACUAACUAGUCAACUAAAAUUGGUACGAUACAGAUAAUAUUAGCAUGGUCCCUGCGCAAGGAUGACACGCAAAAUCGUGAGGCGUUCUACAUCUUU
rnacentral:snRNA from 1 species